rnacentral:rRNA from 1 species
UACGAAGGGGGCUAGCGUUGCUCGGAAUCACUGGGCGUAAAGCGCACGUAGGCGGCUUUUUAAGUCAGGGGUGAAAUCCUGGAGCUCAACUCCAGAACUGCCUUUGAUACUGAGAAGCUUGAGUCCGGGAGAGGUGAGUGGAAUUCCCAGUGUAGAGGUGAAAUUCGUAGAUAUUGGGAAGAACACCGGUGGCGAAGGCGGCUCACUGGCCCGUAGCUGACGCUCAUGCACGACAGCGUGGGGAUCAAACAGG